rnacentral:rRNA from 1 species
AUGAACCAGCAAUGGAUGUACGAUGACAGACGCACCUCCGAGUACAUUAAGGGCGUGCAUAAUUUUCUCGAAGUGGCUGAGGCAAACAAGCAAAAUGAUUUCAUGUGUUGUCCAUGCCCUAUAUGUGGGAAUACGAAGUUUUACUCUCACUUGAAAACCCUUCACAUCCACCUGCUUGAGAAGGGUUUCAUGCCACAAUAUAAUGUUUGGACCAAGCAUGGAGAAAGAGGGGUUAUGAUGGAAGACAACGAAGAAGAAGAGGAUGAUGACAACUAUUCGCCCCCUGAAUACGGUGAUGCUGCAACGGGGGAAGCUGGAGAUCAAGAGGAACCAGACGAUGUGCCGGAUGAUGAUCUUCGCCGGGUCAUUGUUGAUGCAAAGUGA